CGGCCGCAAGGUUAAAACUCAAAUGAAUUGACGGGGGCCCGCACAAGCGGUGGAGCAUGUGGUUUAAUUCGAUGCAACGCGAAGAACCUUACCUGGUCUUGACAUCCACGGAAGUUUUCAGAGAUGAGAAUGUGCCUUCGGGAACCGUGAGACAGGUGCUGCAUGGCUGUCGUCAGCUCGUGUUGUGAAAUGUUGGGUUAAGUCCCGCAACGAGCGCAACCCUUAUCCUUUGUUGCCAGCGGUCCGGCCGGGAACUCAAAGGAGACUGCCAGUGAUAAACUGGAGGAAGGUGGGGAUGACGUCAAGUCAUCAUGGCCCUUACGACCAGGGCUACACACGUGCUACAAUGGCGCAUACAAAGAGAAGCGACCUCGCGAGAGCAAGCGGACCUCAUAAAGUGCGUCGUAGUCCGGAUUGGAGUCUGCAACUCGACUCCAUGAAGUCGGAAUCGCUAGUAAUCGUGGAUCAGAAUGCCACGGUGAAUACGUUCCCGGGCCUUGUACACACCGCCCGUCACACCAUGGGAGUGGGUUGCAAAAGAAGUAGGUAGCUUAACCUUCGGGAGGGCGCUUACCACUUUGUGAUUCAUGACUGGGGUGAAGUCGUAACAAGGUAACCGUAGGGGAACCUGCGGUUGGAUCACCUCCUUACCUUAAAGAAGC
rnacentral:rRNA from 2 species